CCUUCCGAAAGCAGAGACGAGAAAGACCAGGCUGAAGAAUAGACACGAGGAAGUAAUGAAUUGUGGGCUAUGCGCAUGCGCACGGUGGCCGAGGCGCCAAUACGGGUAUACAGACGACGGCACCAAUGCCUCUGCUCUGGAGAAAGACAUUGGUCCAGAGCAGUUCCCCAUUAAUGAACACUACUUUGGAUUGGUCAAUUUUGGGAACACGUGCUACUGUAACUCGGUGCUGCAGGCGCUGUAUUUCUGCAGGCCGUUCAGGGAGAGUGUGCUGGCCUACAAGACACAACAGAAGAAGAAGGAGAACCUGCUGACCUGCCUGGCUGACCUCUUCCACAGCAUCGCUACCCAGAAGAAGAAGGUUGGAGUCAUCCCUCCUAAGAAGUUCAUCUCUCGCCUGAGAAAAGAAAAUGACCUGUUUGAUAACUACAUGCAGCAGGACGCUCAUGAGUUCCUCAACUACCUGCUGAACACGGUGGCAGACAUCCUGCAGGAGGAGAAGAAACAGGAGAAACAGAACGGUCGGCUGAAGAACAACGGAGGUGCCGUCACUGCAGAAACGGAGACGGAAAUCAAGACCGAGUCCACGUGGGUGCACGACAUCUUCCAGGGAACGCUGACCAACGAGACGCGCUGCCUGAACUGCGAGACGGUAAGCAGUAAAGAUGAGGACUUCCUGGAUUUGUCUGUGGAUGUUGAACAAAACACUUCAAUAACACACUGUCUCAGGGACUUCAGUAACACGGAGACGCUGUGCAGUGAGUAUAAAUACUACUGUGAAAUCUGCUGCAGCAAGCAAGAGGCCCAGAAACGCAUGCGAGUGAAGAAGUUACCCAUGAUCUUAGCCCUGCACCUGAAACGGUUUAAGUACAUGGAGCAGCUGCAGCGCUACACAAAGCUGAGCUACCGCGUGGUCUUUCCGCUCGAGCUGCGUCUCUUCAACACGUCCGCCGACGCCGUCAACCUUGACCGCAUGUACGACCUCGUGGCUGUUGUGGUGCACUGUGGCAGUGGGCCAAAUAGAGGACACUACAUCACAAUCGUGAAGAGUCACGGCUUCUGGCUGCUGUUUGACGAUGACAUCGUGGAGAAAAUCGAUGCACAGGCAAUAGAGGAGUUCUACGGUUUGACUUCUGACAUCUCUAAGAACUCGGAGUCAGGAUACAUCCUUUUUUAUCAGUCCAGAGAGUGACAGGAUGAAAGGAUGAACACCGAGCGGGAGAAAAAGAGAAAAAAAAAGAUCAAAGGAAAACAAAGACAGAAAAUCCGUUUCUCCGCGACGAUUAACAGGAAAGGAACCGUUUCCGAGGCUGAUCGCGGUUCAGCGCGUACAAACCGCGUCGAGAUCUUGUAGCUGUUUCAAUUCAACCUGCUCAAGAUGGCUGCUACAGUAUGGAUCGUCAAGUAGAAAGGACAAUAGAAGUCCUAGUUGACUGAGAGAAAUAUUUAGCAUGACAGGUUUUUCUCUGACUGAACUCGACUGUGUGUGAUGUAUAAUGGUCUGAGCUCAGCGAGGUAAGACUCUGGGGGGAAAAAGACUAACAUUCUUUCCCAUGCUCGAGUGCUUUUGGUUAAACCAAGGACAUUUAUAUCAGACCUGUGGUAUAAUAUUAUAUAAUUCCUUAUUUGCACCUUGA